GCAGUGGUGGUUCAGUGGUAGAACCCUCACCUUCUGCGUGGGAGACCCAGGUUCGAUCCCCAACCAGUGCA
rnacentral:tRNA from 1 species